rnacentral:rRNA from 1 species
UUGGAAGGUGCCCAGAUUGAGAAUCGUGGCGUUUUGCGCUGCGAAUUGUAGUCUGUAGAAGCGUCCUCUGCGGCGGACCGGGUCGAGGUUCCCUGGAAGUGGACGCCUGAGAGGGUGAGAGCCCCGUCAGGCCCGGACCCUGUUGCUCCACGAGGCGCUCUCCACGAGUCGGGCUGUUUGGGAAUGCAGCCUUAAGUGGGUGGUAAAUUCCAUCCAAGGCUAAAUAUUGGCAAGAGACCGAUAGCGAACAAGUACCGCGAGGGAAAGGUGAAAAGGACUUUGAAAAGAGAGUUAAAAAGUGCUUGAAAUUGCUGGGAGGGAAGCGAAUGGAGGUUGCUGGUGCGCUCCGGUUGGGUGCGGAACGGCCUCGGCUGGUCUGCCCGGUCAACUCGGGGUGCCGGCCAACGUUGGCUCCGUCUGCGGGAUAAAGAGGGACCAUGUCGACCCGACGAUGCCGUAGGCGGGGCUUGGGCCUGGGGCGCACGCCACCUUGGCGGGCUACCAUGCACCUGUGCGCUCCGGACGUUGGCUUGUGGGGCUUUCCAUUCGACCCGUCUUGAAACACGGACCAAGGAGUCUAACAUGCGUGCGAGUUGGUGGGUUCAAAACCCGUCUUGGCGAAAGGAAACUGAUGCGUGGGAGCCCUGUUGUCGGGUGCACCAUGCGCCGACCAUGAUCUUCUGUGAAAGGUUUGAGUGUGAGCAUGCCUGUUGGGACCCGAAAGAUGGUGAACUAUGCCUGAGCAGGGCGAAGCCAGAGGAAACUCUGGUGGAGGCUCGUAGCGAUACUGACGUGCAAAUCGUUCGUCAGACUUGGGUAUAGGGGCGAAAGACUAAUCGAACCAUCUAGUAGCUGGUUCCCUCCGAAGUUUCCCUCAGGAUAGCUGGAGCUCGUUCAAAGUUUUAUCGGGUAAAGCGAAUGAUUAGAGGCAUCGGGGGAGAAACUCCCUCGACCUAUUCUCAAACUUUAAAUAGGUAAGG